ACUCGAGUGGCGAACGGGUGAGUAACACGUGGGUGAUCUGCCCCGCACUUCGGGAUAAGCCUGGGAAACUGGGUCUAAUACCGGAUAGGAGCCAUUUUUAGUGUGAUGGUUGGAAAGUUUUUCGGUGUAGGAUGAGCUCGCGGCCUAUCAGCUUGUUGGUGGGGUAAUGGCCUACCAAGGCGGCGACGGGUAGCCGGCCUGAGAGGGUGGACGGCCACAUUGGGACUGAUAUACGGCCCAG
rnacentral:rRNA from 1 species